GCGAUAACAAUCCUGAAGCCAGCAGUUAAAUCAGAGGCUGUGGUGGUAAGACUCAGCCUCGGUAGCCAGGUAUGGUGGUUCACACCUGUAAUCCCAGCACUUUGGGAGGCCAAGGCGGGCGGAUCACCUGAGGUCAGGAGUUUGAGACUAGCCUGGCCAACAUGGCGAAACCCUCUACUAAAAAUACAAAAAGCUGGGGAGAAUCACUUGAACCUGGGAGGCGGAAGUUGUAGUGAGCCAA
rnacentral:lncRNA from 1 species